ensembl:miRNA
UAUUAGGUUGGUGCAAAAGUAAUUGCAGUUUUUAUUAUUACUUUUAAUGGCAAAAAAUGCAAUUAUUUUUCCACCAACCUAAUA